GGGCCUGUAGUUCAGUUGGUUAGAACUCUCCGCUCAUAACGGAGCUGUCGCGGGUUCGAGUCCUGCCGGGCCCACCA
rnacentral:tRNA from 1 species